CAAAUUUGAAAGCUGGCUCCUUCGGGGUCCGCAUUGUAAUUUGCAGAGGAUGCUUCGGGAGCGGUCCCCAUCUAAGUUCCCUGGAACGGGACGUCAUAGAGGGUGAAAAUCCCGUAUGGGAUGGGGUGUCCGCGCCCGUGUGAAGCUCCUUCGACGAGUCGAGUUGUUUGGGAAUGCAGCUCUAAAUGGGUGGUAAAUUUCAUCUAAAGCUAAAUAUUGGCCGGAGACCGAUAGCGCACAAGUAGAGUGAUCGAAAGAUGAAAAGCACUUUGAAAAGAGAGUUAAAAAGCACGUGAAAUUGUUGAAAGGGAAGCGCUUGCGACCAGACUCGCUCGCGGGGUUCA
rnacentral:rRNA from 1 species